rnacentral:rRNA from 1 species
CCUACGGGAGGCAGGAGGGAGGAAUAGUGGGCAAUGGACGAGAGUCUGAACCAGCCAAGUAGCGUGAAGGAUGACUGCCCUAUGGGUGGUAAACUUCUUUUAUAUGGGAAUAAAACAGGGUAUGCAUACCCUCUUGUAUGUACCAUAUGAAAAAGGAUCGGCUACCUCCGUGCCAGCAGCCGCGGUAAUACGGAGGAUCCGAGCGUUAUCCGGAUUUAUUGGGUUUAAAGGGAGCGUAGGUGGUUUGUUAAGUCAGUUGUGAAAGUUUGCGGCUCAACCGUAAAAUUGCAGUUGAAACUGGCAGUCUGGAGUACAGUAGAGGUGGGCGGAAUUCGUGGUGUAGCGGUGAAAUGCUUAGAUAUCACGAAGAACUCCGAUUGCGAAGGCAGCUCACUGGACUGCAACUGACACUGAUGCUCGAAAGUGUGGGUAUCAAACAGGAUUAGAUACCCUGGUAGUC